GAUGAACGCUAGCGGCAGGCUUAACACAUGCAAGUCGAGGGGCAGCGCGAAUGUUAGCAAUAACAUUUGGCGGCGACCGGCGCAAGGGUGCGUAACGCGUGAGCAACUUGCCCGUUUCUGGGGAAUAACCGGUGGAAACGCCGACUAAUACCCCAUAGCAUUGGAUUGAGGCAUCUUAAUCCAAUUAAAGAAUUUCGGAAACGGAUAGGCUCGCGUGACAUUAGCUAGAUGGCGGGGUAACGGCCCACCAUGGCGACGAUGUCUAGGGGUUCUGAGAGGAAGGUCCCCCACACUGGAACUGAGACACGGUCCAGACUCCUACGGGAGGCAGCAGUGAGGAAUAUUGCACAAUGGGGGAAACCCUGAUGCAGCGACGCCGCGUGAGUGAAGAAGUAUUUCGGUAUGUAAAACUCUAUCAGCAGGGAAGAAAUUGACAGUACCUGACUAAGAAGCCCCGGCUAACUACGUG
rnacentral:rRNA from 1 species